rnacentral:rRNA from 1 species
UACGAAGGGGGCUAGCGUUGUUCGGAAUUACUGGGCGUAAAGCGCACGUAGGCGGAUGCUUAAGUGAGGCGUGAAAUCUCCCGGCCUAACUGGGAGGGGUCGCCUCAGACUGGGCGUCUUGAGGACGGCAGAGGUAGGUGGAAUUCCUGGUGUAGUGGUGAAAUGCGCAGAGUAUCAGGAGGAACACCGGUGGCGAAGGCGGGGUCUCUGGGCCGAUACUGACGCUGAGGAGCGAAAGCAUGGGUAGCGAACAGG